rfam:Ipomoea nil DNA, scaffold: scaffold2701, cultivar: Tokyo-kokei standard.
CUGACCUUAGCUCAGUUGGUAGAGUGGUGGACUGUAGUAGGACUAAUCUAAAUUGGAAAUCCUUAGGUCGCUGGUUUGAUUCCGGCAGGUUGGA